rnacentral:rRNA from 1 species
UUAAGCGACCUAAAGGAACGUUUAAGACUAAGACGUUGAUAGGCUGGGUGUGUAAGCGUAGCGAUACGUUGAGCUAACCAGUACUAAUGAACCGUGAGGCUUAACCUG